CCAAACGUCUAAUUUAGUGGUUUUCGAACUUUUUUUCUGGGGAUCCAGUUAAAGAAAAUUGUUAAUGCCCGCAGUCCAACAGAGCUGGGGAUGAGGGGUGUAGGAGGGCUCAGGGCUGGGGCAGAGG